UCCCAGACUCCUACGGGAGGCAGCAGUGGGGAAUAUUGGGCAAUGGGCGCAAGCCUGACCCAGCAACGCCGCGUGAAGGAAGAAGGCUUUCGGGUUGUAAACUUCUUUUGUCAGGGACGAAGCAAGUGACGGUACCUGACGAAUAAGCCACGGCUAACUACGUGCCAGCAGCCGCGGUAAUACGUAGGGGGCGAGCGUUAUCCGGAAUUACUGGGUGUAAAGGGAGCGUAGACGGCGAGGUAAGCCUGAAGUGGAAGCCCGCGGCCCAACCGCGGAACUGCUUUGGGAACUGUUUUGCUGGAGUAUGGGAGGGGUAAGCGGAAUUCCUGGUGUAGCGGUGAAAUGCGUAGAUAUCAGGAGGAACACCGGUGGCGAAGGCGGCUUACUGGACCAUAACUGACGUUGAGGCUCGAAAGCGUGGGGAGCGAACAGGAUUAGAUACCCGCGUA
rnacentral:rRNA from 1 species